CCAGAGGGCCGGGCGGCCGCGUCAUCCAGCGAUGGAUGCCGAGGAAAGUCCGGGCUCCACGAAACGACGGUGGCGGGUAACGCCCGCCGGCCACGCGCCUUCGGACGCGGGGUUAGGGAAAGUGCCACAGAGAGCAGACGGCCUGGCUUCGGCCCGGUCACGGUGAAAGGGUGCGGCAAGAGCGCACCGCGCGCGCCGGUAACGGCCGCGGCAUGGCAAACCCCACCGGGAGCAAGACCGAAUAGGGGCGGCAAGGAGCCUUUGGCUCCGGGGCGUGUUUCCGCCUGUCGCCCGGGUUGGUCGCUAGAGACGGCGUGCGAGCGUCGUCCGAGAGGAAUGGUCGCCCAUCCGGCAGCGAUGCCGGUGGACAGAACCCGGCUUACAGGCCCUCUGGCAAA
rnacentral:RNase_P_RNA from 1 species